rnacentral:rRNA from 1 species
GUGGGGAAUAUUGGACAAUGGGGGCAACCCUGAUCCAGCAAUGCCGCGUGUGUGAAGAAGGUCUUCGGAUUGUAAAGCACUUUCGACGGGGACGAUGAUGACGGUACCCGUAGAAGAAGCCCCGGCUAACUUCGUGCCAGCAGCCGCGGUAAUACGAAGGGGGCUAGCGUUGCUCGGAAUGACUGGGCGUAAAGGGCGUGUAGGCGGUUUACACAGUCAGAUGUGAAAUCCCCGGGCUUAACCUGGGAGCUGCAUUUGAUACGUGUAGACUAGAGUGUGAGAGAGGGUUGUGGAAUUCCCAGUG